rnacentral:rRNA from 1 species
GGGAGUGAAAAAGAACCUGAAACCGUGUACGUACAAGCAGUGGGAGCACGCUUAGGCGUGUGACUGCGUACCUUUUGUAUAAUGGGUCAGCGACUUAUAUUCUGUAGCAAGGUUAACCGAAUAGGGGAGCCGAAGGGAAACCGAGUCUUAACUGGGCGUUAAGUUGCAGGGUAUAGACCCGAAACCCGGUGAUCUAGCCAUGGGCAGGUUGAAGGUUGGGUAACACUAACUGGAGGACCGAACCGACUAAUGUUGAAAAAUUAGCGGAUGACUUGUGGCUGGGGGUGAAAGGCCAAUCAAACCGGGAGAUAGCUGGUUCUCCCCGAAAGCUAUUUAGGUAGCGCCUCGUGAAUUCAUCUCCGGGGGUAGAGCACUGUUUCGGCAAGGGGGUCAUCCCGACUUACCAACCCGAUGCAAACUGCGAAUACCGGAGAAUGUUAUCACGGGAGACACACGGCGGGUGCUAACGUCCGUCGUGAAGAGGGAAACAACCCAGACCGCCAGCUAAGGUCCCAAAGUCAUGGUUAAGUGGGAAACGAUGUGGGAAGGCCCAGACAGCCAGGAUGUUGGCUUAGAAGCAGCCAUCAUUUAAAGAAAGCGUAAUAGCUCACUGGUCGAGUCGGCCUGCGCGGAAGAUGUAACGGGGCUAAACCAUGCAC